CUGAUGAAUCCCUUGAGCACUUGCUGUUCUUCUAUGCUCAUGGCAACUUGGUUUGAAUCGGCUUUGGGUUUUCAUUCUUUCCUAGAGUGGUGGAGGACAGUGCAAGAGAUGGAUAAAGGUAAUGGAAACAUUUUGUUGCUCUCUACUAGUGUUAUCUGUUGGAAUAUAUGGAAAGCAAGAAAUGCUUUUAUUUUCUGUUCUGUGCAACCAAAUCUUGUCCAAACUAUUCGAAAGGCUAAUAUUCAGACUUCAGAGUUCAUUAAUAUUGAGAAGCCUAAUUCAUCUAUAAGGGAAUUGCAUUUUGGUCUCAGAUUUCAAGGCUACCUCGAUGGUAUCCAUCUAAUGAGGGUAGUUUUCUUUUUAGUAUUGAUGCAUCAUUCGACUAUGCUUCUUCCCAAG
rnacentral:misc_RNA from 1 species